UACAGAGGGGGGCAAGCGUUGUUCGGAAUUACUGGGCGUAAAGGGCGCGUAGGUGGCCUUUUGAGUCAGACGUGAAAUCCCCCGGCUUAACCUGGGCAACUGCGUCUGAUACUGGAAGGCUUGAGUUCGGGAGAGGGAUGUGGAAUUCCAGGGUGUAGCGGUGAAUGCGUAGAUAUCUGGAGGAACACCGGUGGCGAAAGCGCGAGACUGGGCCAUAACUGACGCUGAGGAACGAAAGCCAGGGGAGCGAAAGGG
rnacentral:rRNA from 1 species